rnacentral:lncRNA from 1 species
CUAUGAGAAGCACGAGGGCGCCUCCUACAGGCACUACCAUCGUCUUGCCCGGGGAACCGUUAUUCACGGCAGCCAAGGUCAUCGCCGCCUUCCACCUCCGCAGUGGUUUUCAAGAUACUUGCUUGCCUAACGGAACCAUCAGAGGUCGAGGGUGGACACGGAGAUGGGACAGCUGA